rnacentral:rRNA from 1 species
CGCGUAGGUGGCUACUUAAGCGUGUGGUGAAAGUCCGGGGCUCAACCCCGGAUCGGCCGUGCGAACUGAGUGGCUUGAGCACUGUAGAGGCAGGUGGAAUUCCGGGUGUAGCGGUGGAAUGCGUAGAGAUCCGGAAGAACACCGGUGGCGAAGGCGGCCUGCUGGGCAGUGGCUGACACUGAGGCGCGACAGCGUGGGGAGCAAACAGGAUUAGAUACCCUGGUAGUCCACGCCGUAAACGAUGGGCACUAGGUGCCUGGGGGAGCGACCCCCUGGGUGCCGUCGCUAACGCAUUAAGUGCCCCGCCUGGGGAGUACGGCCGCAAGGCUGAA